UUAUUUUAAAAAAAAAAUCUUUGAUUUGAUUAGUUUCUUUUUAUAUUUUGUAUAUUUGAUUUCAUUUUCAUUAGUUGAUGUAGCUUCCUUUUUUAUUUGACCUAGUAUACUAAUAUAAAUAACACACCAACUUUUCACCCAACGGGGAAUUCACUCAUACACACACGGUACAACACCAAUAUAAACCCUAUAAUAUUCACCCUUCACUCUUAUACACAAUAUGUAUCUCAUGUCACAUCAAUUUUACACAACACGUGAGAACACCACCAAUUAUCCCCACUAACAAUCACCUAUAAUAUCCUCAAUCACACAACAAACUUUGCACCAAGAACACCAACAAUUCAUCUGUCAAAACCAAAAAUCUGAAAACUCAAAAACUCACACACUGACCAAUACAUGAGGAAAAAGGGAACACGUUUUUCAUAGUAAAAAUUUUGUUACCAACACCUUCAAUCAUUAAUCCAAACUUCAUACUCAACAAUCUCACAUACAUCCACCAACAAUAUACAUUAAAUCAAAGGUAACAAUCACUUACAACAAAAACAUGACUAAAAUUCACACAACAACCAAUUCUAAAAAUCAAAUCGAAAAAGAGAAGAAACGAGAUCGGAAACCACAUCAUCCCUUAGUCGUUAAGCCCCCGACGUCGUCCACGACACCACCAUGAUGGUCGGUCCACCACCGUGAACCCUUUUAUCGUACUCCAUCUGUAGCUGUUGUGGUUACCUCCCUUUCCGAUUGUGAAAUUGCGAGAACCACCGCACCGAUUUCUUUCAUUUUCCCCUAUGUCUCAAUAAUGUUUUUGUUUAUGUUUGCAAGCUGCUUCAAUUGCUUAGAGAACAAAGGGUGAUUUUCUUUGUUUUUAUGAAAAUUUGAGAAUGGGUUUGAGGAAUGAAGUAAGAGUAAGAGAGAGAGAGAAAGAGACUAGAAGGAGGAAAAGAAGAAUGAGGUUGUCGGGGAUUUCCUUCUGGUAUUGUAGCCUUGUUUUUUUACUUUUUUAUUUUUUUAAUCCCUUACUGCCACUUGUCUAAACUUAAUUGGUGGGGGCUGAAUUUGAAAGAAAGAGUAAUUCGAUAAGACACUAGCAACUAUGGAUGUUCAAAACCAAAUCAUUCCGAUAGAAAACCGUAAAUCAAAUCAAAUCAAACCGAAACCGCAAAAAAUUGUAUUUGGUUCGGAUGUGUUUGGGUCAUUUUAUAACAAAACUGUGCGGUUUGGUUUGCAGAGUUUGUAUUUUGAAAUCUGAACUAAACCAAACCAAACCGUAUUAUGUUACCACUUAAACUUCCCUUAUCCCACAUCAAACCCAAAAUCCAAUUUUUUUAUGUCUUAACCUUAUAAAUAUUCUCUUACUCGUGUUUAGAAUUUUAGUUUCAACUUUUUCAAAUAGUAAUAUUAUGCAUUAUUCUCAUCUUAUUUGCCAUGUACAUCUCACAUCUUCUACUCUAAUCUUUAAUCUCUUAUGUUCUUUAUUUUUUUAUUUUUCUUAAUUUUAUGUUAUUGUUUCUGUUUCAAUUACGUUUUUAUCGCAUUUUUCUUCUCUGAUCUUACAUCUCUUAUAUUGUUUCUUUUUCAUCUUCUCUGUUUUU
rnacentral:lncRNA from 1 species